CCUACGGGGGGCAGCAGUGGGGAAUAUUGCACAAUGGGGGAAACCCUGAUGCAGCAACGCCGCGUGAGUGAAGAAGUAUUUCGGUAUGGAAAGCUCUAUCAGCAGGGAAGAAAAUCACGGUACCUGAGUAAGAAGCCGCGGCUAACUACGUGCCAGCAGCCGCGGUAAUACGUAGGGGGCAGGCGUUAUCCGGAUUUACUGGGGGUAAAGGGGGCGUAGACGGCGAUGCAAGUCUGAAGUGAAAGCCCGGGGCUCAACCCCGGGACUGCUUUGGAAACUGUAUGGCUGGAGUGCUGGAGAGGCAAGCGGAAUGCCUAGUGUAGCGGUGAAAUGCGUAGAUAUUAGGAAGAACACCAGUGGCGAAGGCGGCUUGCUGGACAGUAACUGACGUUGAGGCUCGAAAGCGUGGGGAGCAAACAGGAUUAGAUACCCCUGUAGUC
rnacentral:rRNA from 1 species